GAUGGCACUGUGGUUGGAUGGAUUCUUCUUGAUAAUUUAAGGAAGGGAUUGGUAGCAGCUGGGCAAAAAGGCAUUGAUGUUUUAAAUGGUAUUGCAUGGGAUAGCAAUGACAACCGUCUUUUUGUUACUGGAAAAUUGUGGCCAAAGCUUUAUGAAAUCAAAUUGCAACUGAUAAAGAAACCUUUUGAUAAUGGAGUGAUUAAACGGUUUUGCUUACCGUAAUAAGCCAUGCCCAGGAAGUUUUUGACAUGGCUGUGCCCGACAUGAAUUCUGAGCUAAGCGUUAAAAAGGACUGAGAGUCACGG
rnacentral:misc_RNA from 1 species